GGCCCGUUGGUCAAGAGGUUAAGACACCGCCCUUUCACGGCAGUAACAGCAGUUCAAUUCUGCUACGGGUCACCA
rnacentral:tRNA from 1 species